rnacentral:rRNA from 1 species
AUACGUAGGUGACAAGCGUUAUCCGGAUUUACUGGGCGUAAAGGGCGUGUAGGCGGUCUUGCAAGUCAGAAGUGAAAUUCCUGAGCUCAACUCGGGCGCUGCUUCUGAAACUGCAGGACUUGAGUGCUGGAGGGGAUAGCGGAAUUCCUAGUGGAGCGGUAAAAUGCGCAGAUAUUAGGAAGAACACCGGUGGCGAAGGCGGCUAUCUGGACAGUAACUGACGCUGAGGCGCGAAAGCGUGGGGAGCAAACAGGUUUAGAUACCCUGGUAGUCCGCACAGUAAACGAUGUGCACCAGGGGGCGGGGGGUCGACCCCCGGUACCGUAGCUAACGCAUUAAGUGCACCGCCUGGGGAGUAUGCUCGCAAGGGUGAAACUCAAAGGAAUUGACGGGG